rnacentral:rRNA from 1 species
GACGAACGCUGGCGGCGUGCCUAAUACAUGCAAGUAGAACGCUGAAGAGAGGAGCUUGCUCUUCUUGGAUGAGUUGCGAACGGGUGAGUAACGCGUAGGUAACCUGCCUUGUAGCGGGGGAUAACUAUUGGAAACGAUAGCUAAUACCGCAUAACAAUGGAUGACACAUGUCAUUUAUUUGAAAGGGGCAAUUGCUCCACUACAAGAUGGACCUGCGUUGUAUUAGCUAGUAGGUGAGGUAAUGGCUCACCUAGGCGACGAUACAUAGCCGACCUGAGAGGGUGAUCGGCCACACUGGGACUGAGACACGGCCCAGACUCCUACGGGAGGCAGCAGUAGGGAAUCUUCGGCAAUGGGGGCAACCCUGACCGAGCAACGCCGCGUGAGUGAAGAAGGUUUUCGGAUCGUAAAGCUCGGUUGUAAGUCAAGAACGGGUGUGAGAGUGGAAAGUUCACACUGUGACGGUAGCUCACCAGAAAGGGACGGCUAACUACGUG